rnacentral:lncRNA from 1 species
AUGAAACAAAGACCCAUGCCAAAGCCUGUCAUGACAUUUCAGAUCGCUAGGAACCAAGAAGAUACUCUAAAAAUCCCCAGCAGUAAAGUCAAUGGUUGUCAAGAGAAGCACAAAAAGCAUCCCAUUAGAACGGCUUCAGUCUUUUCUCUCUCUGAUUUCCUCUCCAGGUUCUCCCAACAGGACGAUAAACUCAUCUGGAAGGCAGAGGGCCUGCCCAUUCAUAAACCUGUUGAUGUGGUCCCCAGAGAUGCAGGUAUGAGACAGCGCAACCCUUCCAUCACCCAACACUGCAACUUGUGGAUUUAUUUGUAUGGAGCUCCAGCAUUGCCAGUGCCCCUCAUUGUCUGGAGUGCACACCUGCCUGACCUCAGUAGACCCUUCAGGAAGUAUUCUAAGGGUGCAAGAGGAGAAAGAAGAAAUAGCCUGGCCAUCUUCCUGAAAUUUUCCCCAAAUGCUCAAUUCCCUGGGACCAGAGAGGAACCUCAGAUACAAACUUGACAAUGCCAAUGGAAAUAAUCAAUAUCAACCUAUAAAGGAAUAGAAAAGUUUUAUUUGAACUAAACUGAGGACUAUAGGCCAGGAGCCAGCCUCUCAGCCCUGAGGAACUGUUCCAAAGAAGCAUGAUUUUCAGCAUAUUCUUACAUCUUAUCGGUCAAAGAACAUCAGACAUGACAGGGGUACAUUCCUUCAAAGUUUCAAGAAGGACAAGUCAGCAUGUACCCAGUGAGUCCCUAAGGCCUUGGCACCGGAGGAGGAAGGCUUAUCAUUGAAGGAGCACUAGCAGUGACCUCCCAGGAAAAGAAGCAUUUAGCCUUUAUCUUUAAAACCAACAUUCUUUACUUCUGGCCGAUGCACCCUCUUCUUUACUGAUUAAAGCAGAUUACGAUGGAAGUUUGGUAAGCCACAAAGAGGCUGUUCUAGUUAGCAUGUUCAAGUUCAAGUUAAAUAUUGUCUAAGCCAGAAUGAUGUCCUCAUACCUCAGUAUGUGAAAUUUUCUUCCAUCAACAAGAAGCCUGAGGACAAAAUUUUAAAAGGGAAAUUCUGCAAAAAUUUGGGAUGGGGGAAAUGAAAGAGGAGAAUGGCUCUAUAUUAUAGGUCCUGGAAGAGGGGAGCUGGCCCCACACCCCAAAAUGGGUUUGUCUGGGCAAAUGACAAGAUAGGGAGGCUCCCCUAAUGUCCCCUCAUCUACCCAAGUGUGUUGGGGAACCCCCAGAGGCCAUGCAGAUGCCGACAACCGUAGCCACAUGUAACAUGACCAGAACCCGUGUUAUACCACAGUUUGGCUUCAUCAUAAUCCUGAAAGCACGGCAAAAAUUCUAGGUAUCAGGAGAGUCUCCAAAACCAUGGCCUGAUCCUCAAUGGAAAGAUUCCUGGGAGUGAGUUUAUUUUCUCUUUCUCUCUCUCUCUCUUUUUUUUUUUUUUUUGCCUUUUACAGCCACACCUGCAGCAUAUGGAGGUUCCCAGGCUAGGGGUUGAAUUGGAGCAACAGCUGCUGGCC